rnacentral:sRNA from 1 species
UCAUCCACCCCCAUUUAGCACAGGCUUUUACCACGGAGCUCUAAGGACUGUAUGUGAACAUUUUUGUAUGGCGUUUCCCCAUGCAGAAAUACUACUGUUCUCCAUGGGACCAUCAGCAGUGGAUUCUGUGGAAGCCUUGGCUGAGCAGACGGUAGAAUACGGUUAUGAGGAUCAUGGCCUUUUCAAGAAGAAAAGGAACUUCUGGUGGCUGACACCCUGGAUUACACUGAAAGGCUGCACUCCAGAGGCAGUGAAAGGCCACAUAGCAGAAAAAGCAAUGUGCCACCUGGGUUGAACCUGAUGAACCCUCCAGGGUUCAGAGAACAGAUCGCUCCCAAGCACAUCCUCCUUUCCCAGAUGGCCUUGAACAGAUGCAGCCCUCCAUGCAGACUUGGGAUAAAUAUUGUCCAGGAGGGAGAUGGCGCAUGAUGAACCUGCCAGAAGCCAGCUACAGCCAGGGGAGCUGGAAAGCAAAACUCUCUUGUGCUGCAGAUAGGCAGAGAGGCCUCCUUGACUCUUCUCUCUCCUCCAGGAACUCAGAACUUUGUCUUCCUCACUGAACCCACCUCAGACAAACUACUCAAUGGACUCCAGAAAACCCAAAUCUCUUCAGCUUUCUAAAGGAGAUGAAUGAGGAGCCGUCUGGGCCGGAAAUGCAGGUCCCAGAGAACUUUCUCCAGAGAUAUACCAGUUUGGAUGAAGGCUAUGUCCAAAUGAUUCAGAUACAAGAGUUGGGUGGUCCUAGGUUCAGAUCUACACUUUUCUUCUCACCGAUAUCCCUUAAGUAAAGGAAUAGUCAUGGACUCCUCAUGGGUGUGGUGGGCUUAGAUGAUGCUAUGUUUGUACAACUACUGUGCAAAUACAAAGCUUCCCUCAUGCAGGGAGAGGCUUGAACAGCAAA